CGGCGGACGGGUGAGUAACGCGUGGGUAACCUGCCUCAUACAGGGGGAUAACAGUUAGAAAUGACUGCUAAUACCGCAUAAGACCACAGCACCGCAUGGUGCAGGGGUAAAAACUCCGGUGGUAUGAGAUGGACCCGCGUCUGAUUAGCUAGUUGGUGGGGUAACGGCCUACCAAGGCGACGAUCAGUAGCCGACCUGAGAGGGUGACCGGCCACAUUGGGACUGAGACACGGCCCAAACUCCUACGGGAGGCAGCAUG
rnacentral:rRNA from 1 species